AGUGAAGCCUGAACUCGAGUAGGGCCCAAGCCAGCCAGGAAGGAGGAGGCAGCCAGAGAGGCCUUCACUGUUCUCUGCAGCAGAAGACCCCCUGCUGCCAGAUGAGAUGCCAGCUGGUGACUCAGAGUUUGAGAAACUAGCCAACUUGGACAGGAGCUGAAAUAUCUUAGGCGGUUUGUUAGUGUGCAAGGAAGACAGACUGUUAUAUUUCCAGUUGUGUUCAAGAAGCUGAAGCAGAACUGCUAGCCCACCAGGAGAACAGAGUCUGCUUCAGAACCAAUGCUCUACCAUGCUUGAUUUCCUGGGCUUUUAAUUGGAGAAGCAAAUGUCAUCAUUACAUCUUCACAUUCUGUGGCAAAGAUUGGCUCAAUGCCCAUUCUGACAUGCAGUGAAUGACAGCAUGUAUAUGAAUUAGUGAUACAGUCACUUUCGGGGUAUAAUUCUGGUUAACCC